CAGCACCUCAAGUGGUCAGGAUGAUUAUUGGGCCUAAAGCAUCCGUAGCCGGCUCUGUAAGGUUUCGGUUAAAUCUGUACGCUCAACGUACAGGCUGCCGGGAAUACUGCAGAGCUAGGGAGUGGGAGAGGUAGACGGUACUCGGUAGGAAGGGGUAAAAUCCUUUGAUCUAUUGAUGACCACCUGUGGCGAAGGCGGUCUACCAGAACACGUCCGAUGGUGAGGGAUGAAAGCUGGGGGAGCAAACCGGAUUAGAUACCCGAGUAGUCC
rnacentral:rRNA from 1 species